rnacentral:lncRNA from 1 species
AAUAAUUUUUUAAAUAUAAAUAAUAUUGAUAGUGUAGAACAUUUUUAUCGGAUUAGAUCUUGAUUUUAAGUAAUUGAUUUAUCGAAAAUGCAAUAUAUGCUAUUAGUUAGUACAAUAAAAGAGAUACGCUCCAUUUUGAAUGUCUGGCUAAGGGUCCGUUUGGUUCAACGUAAAAUCACAAAAAAUAAUUUUCGGUGAAACUUUUCUUUUAGAUUUUGUAGUAUUUGAUCCGUAGGUAAAAAAAAUAAUUUUCAUUAAUAUUUAUUUAGUUGGAAGAAAAAAAACUAUAUUUGUUUGAUUUGGUGAAAAAAAUAAAUGAAAAAGUUUUACGCAGCUGGGAUUUUCAUUUUUCAUUGAAAAAUUGCGUAAAGUGAUAACUUCAUUCCUAAAUCCGUAAAAAUAUUGUGAUUGAGCCAAACAAGCGUAUUUUCUAUAUUGGAAAUUAGAAAUAAAUUUUUGAUUCGUUUUAGGCAAAGCAAAAUACCCCCAUUAGCAUUUAUGUAUUUUGUUAUAAAAAUUAAAUGCAGUCCGUCAAGCACAUAAAUACACUGCAUGCAGGCAACAGUUUCUCCCCUCCCUCGGUCAUGAUUCACGCUCCUUGCGUGGGCGCUAGAAAAAAAAAGAAAAAGAAAAAAGAAUGUACCGAUUACAUUGCUGACGUUGACGUGUUGUCUCCGACUAAUAAAAUCAAUUUUUUUGAAUUGAUACGUUCCAUCAUAAUUUAUAGAAAAAUAUUUUUAUUAUAUUUUUUAAAAAAUAAAAAAUAUAAUUAAUUUAUUAUUGAUGAUGUGAUGCAAAUAUGGUAAAGUAGAUUUUUCUGGUGACGGGUG